CGAAACGGGUGAAGUAACACGUGGGUGAAUCUGCCCUGCACUUUGGGAUAAGCCUGGGAAACUGGGUCUAAUACCGAAUAUGACCAUGGACUUCACGGUUUGUGGUGGAAAGCUUUUGCGGUGUGGAUGGGCCCGCGGCCUAUCAGCUUGUUGGUGGGUAAUGGCCUACCAAGGCGACGACGGGUAGCCGGCCUGAGAGGGUGACCGGCCACACUGGGACUGAGAUACGGCCCAGACUCCUACGGGAGGCAGCAGUGGGGAAUAUUGCACAAUGGGCGCAAGCCUGAUGCAGCGACGCCGCGUGGGGAUGACGGCCUUCGGGUUGUAAACCUCUUUCACCAGGGACGAAGCGAGAGUGACGGUACCUGGAGAAGAAGGACCGGCCAACUACGUG
rnacentral:rRNA from 1 species